rnacentral:rRNA from 1 species
GACGAACGCUGGCGGCGUGCCUAAUACAUGCAAGUCGAGCGGACUUUCAAGAAGCUUGCUUUUGAAAGUUAGCGGCGGACGGGUGAGUAACACGUGGGCAACCUGCCUGUAAGACGGGGAUAACUCCGGGAAACCGGGGCUAAUACCGGAUAAUAUCUUUCUUCGCAUGAAGGAAGGUUGAAAGGCGGCGAAAGCUGCCGCUUGCAGAUGGGCCCGCGGGGCAUUAGCUAGUUGGUGAGGUAACGGCUCACCAAGGCGACGAUGCGUAGCCGACCUGAGAGGGUGAUCGGCCACACUGGGACUGAGACACGGCCCAGACUCCUACGGGAGGCAGCAGUAGGGAAUCUUCCGCAAUGGACGAAAGUCUGACGGAGCAACGCCGCGUGAGCGAAGAAGGUCUUCGGAUCGUAAAGCUCUGUUGUCAGGGAAGAACAAGUACCGUUCGAAUAGGGCGGUACCUUGACGGUACCUGACCAGAAAGCCACGGCUAACUACGUGCCAGCCGCCGCAGUAA